GGUGAGUCAGUCCAUUUCAGCCUGGAGGAGUGCUCACUCAGCUACACCAACCUUUGCAAUGGCCUUCAGCUCCUGGCCACUCCUCAGGCAUGUGCUUUUGCAGGAAGGACGCUGGACUCUUGCACUAUAAGUUGAAAACAUCGCUUAUAAACAAUACAUCACAGCACACUUGCAGAGAGAGCACUGAGGUAAUUAACGUCUGGGAGAAAGGAUGGAGAAACAUAGAGGAUCCCCAUGCUCAACGAAUAGAGUUCAUCAAAAUAAGAUAUGAUCAAGGUACAAAAGAGUUAAAGAAGCUAUUUAUUUUAAUGUUUCCUUGGAGAGCACACUUGUUAUUAUGCCUGCCCCAGCUUUGCCUUCCACCAUGAGUAAAAGCUUCCCAAGUCCUCCCCAGAAGCAGAUGCUGGCGCUAUGCUUCUGGUACAGCCUGAAAAACCUUGAGCCAAUUAAACCUCAGUGAGCUCAAGAUGUCUUUGUUGAAACAGAACCUCCCGAAGUUACAGUAUUGGUUUUGGGGCUCCACACAGAGAACACAUCACGGAAGCUAUAAUUGAGGAAGACAAAGCUGUCAGGACGACACCAAGAGAGUUAGAAAGCCCAAGAGUGGAGCAUUCUUCACCAUGAUUCCACCUGACACUUGGCUGAAAGCAUUUUGCACUAAUUUGCUUUGUGCCCGUUCAGACAAUCUAAAAAGAAAGGAUGGGGGGACAACAAGUGUCUAUUACACAGAAUAAACAGCCUCUGGCAAAUGAA
ensembl:lncRNA LINC02253 long intergenic non-protein coding RNA 2253